AACGUAGGAGGCGAGCGUUAUCCGGAUUUACUGGGCGUAAAGCGCGUGCAGGCGGUGCAGGAAGUCGUGUGUGAAAGCUCCCAGGCUUAACCGGGAGAGGCCAUGCGAAACUCCUGCGCUGGAGUCAAGGAGAGGUAAGCGGAAUUCCGGGUGUAGUGGUGAAAUGCGUAGAUAUCCGGAGGAACACCGGUGGCGAAGGCGGGUCUCUGGGCCGAUACUGGACGCUGAGGAGCGAAAGCGUGGGGAGCGAACAGG
rnacentral:rRNA from 1 species